AGGAGGUUUUAGAAAGAAUGAAAAAGGAGCCCUGGGUUUGCAAACCAUGGCUUCCCCUUCCUGCUCCCCUAGGAAGGGUCUGCUACGCUGAGAUAGGCUGGGAUGGAAUGGGGGUGGGGGAGGUCAAGGUUGAAGUCUCAAGUCCUGCCACCUAAGUCCCACCUUGGGCUGGAGGAAGCAAACAAAGGGCAAUGAAGGCGCCCCUCAGUCCCCAACUUCUCAGUAGAUCAAGUCAGAGUGGUCAGGAGCUAGACUAGACACUUGUAGUCUGGUGGGUGUGACUGUAGGGGUCAGGGUGCUGGGUCCCAGCUUCCCAACUGAAGAGACUUAAAUCCCACCUGACACGUCUCCCCAGGAAAGUAAGCUGGGAUAAAGGAGAAUGGGAGGAAGCUGCCUACCCCUAACUGGCCUACCGCACACCAAGGAAGAUGCUGGAAGCUGGCGGGAAGAGGCUGUGCCUUUGAAAACUUGUCUGCAUUUCUAGCUUGGGAAAGAGAAGUGUGGAGAAGAUCGCCCUUCCUCAGAGCUGGCCCCUCACGUGUCUGGGCUCUUCCUAGGAGUACUUCCCAGGAACUCAGAACAGGAAUGGCUGGGGCGCUCUCAUCAGCCUCAAGCCCCUUCCCAUCCCCAAUGGGGGGACAGCACCAGCCCAGGUCCCAUCUUCAAACCUAACCUGACUACCCACUGCUGUGCCCGCCUGGGGGAAAGCUGGAAAACACAGACUCUCGGAGGUGAGAACCCCAGACUCCCGGGUGGGGGAGGGAGGAGGAGGUCUUGGUUCCAGUGCACUAAAUCAUGGGACCUCUCUCCCCCACAGCAGCCUUGGGGGAUUUAUCCCUCGCCAUCCAGAACAGAAGUGGACUUCAGCUCUCCGUGGGCUGGCCUUCGGCAAGGGCGUGGGUGUGAAUGAACAACUCUUCUAAGAAUCUCUGAAAAAGUUGUUUUUCUUCUCAGUGAUUUGGGGGCAGGGAGUUAGAUAGCUUAACAGAUGAAGAUUAAUACAAUGCUGAAUUCUAUCAUUUCUUCCUGAUAUUUAGCAUUAAUAAAAAGUGAGUAUUUCUGAGGUCAUCACAACUGCCACCCCUCCCCCCCCCAAGCCCUUGCAAGGGCCUAAGAAAUUGCCUUGGAAGGAUUCCCACCCACCCCCUCCAUUAUCAGCUCCCUAACAUAUUACAAAGUCUUAUCAACAGUAAUAUUAAUAUUAUUUUCAGUAUCAGAAAAAAACCAGUUGAGCAGCACAGGCAAAAAUAUAUCUGCACUACGUUUCUGUCAUUGCCAAAAAUAUACACAUCUUCUUUUCUUUAUUAAAAAAAAAAAAAACCCAACAACAAAAACCCAAACAGGAACAUACACACACACACACACACACACACACACACACACACACACACACAUCCACACAUGCAAAGAGACUGACAAGACAGGAGCAUCAGGGAAAGCUGGAAAUGCCUUCUCCUGGCUCCAACCCCAGUGCAACUGAAACAGACACAGGCUUCAACCUUGCCCCUCUCCUGGCUGUCCCACUGGCUCCUAGGCCUUUGCCACCAAAGGCUCUGGGCAGGUGGGGACUCCAUCAGGUGAGAAUCUAAGCAUUGCCCACUAUACCCCGAGGGGAAAGAGCUGGUGGGUGAAGGGACAGUUGUAGGUCAGCUUAAGCGUAAGUCUCCCCUGGUUGGUGGAGGUGGCGGUCUGGUGCAGGAAGUAGGCUGGCUAGUUCUGGGAGGGAGGUCUUCACACAAGGAAGUGGCACUUGACCCUCCCUUGCUCUGUCCCCCAAUCCCUGGGGCUCCCCUUGUGCCAGGGAAGCAGGACCAACUAUAGUGGAGGGAGGGGAGCUCUGAGGGGGCACUAAGACCAUGAGGGAGCUGGGGAAGGGAAGGCAGGAUUUACCCUGAUUCAAAGCCCUCAGCCCCCAGUUACUCUCCAAUAUUGGAGUACUGUUCUGAUUUUUGUUAACCACGCAUGCCCCAGAAAGGGACCAAAGUUGGUGAGGGUGCAAACAAGAGCUGGGAGCCCCCCUUCUGAGCACUGCUCCUAUCCCUGUCCUCGGCUGCCCCAGGUCGGGGGAGACAGACGUACACACGUGUACACACACACACGCACACACAUACACGCACACG